UGACGGAGCCGAAGUACAGAAACCAUAUUUACAGGUCAAACCAGACUUCUGAAGACUUCUGAGGGAGCCCCAGUAUCCUUUCUGGAGUAUGAAGUGGGCUUUUGGCCAGACAAGCUCAUUUGACAAAGAAGGAAACGUGCCCUGACACUGCCUGAUCAUGCCCACCCACCAGAACAACAAGGGCAUCCUUGGAGGGAAGACUGCAUCAUCUCCGUAGUUUUCUGUGCUGCUGCCAUUCAGUCUGGUCCCUUGCGCCUGAUUUAUAGUCCUCCUUUACAAUAAACUGGCUAAAUUGUACUCUCA